rnacentral:rRNA from 1 species
AUUGAACGCUGGCGGCAGGCUUAACACAUGCAAGUCGAACGAGUGGCGGACGGGUGAGUAAUGCCUGGGAAUCUAGCUUAUGGAGGGGGAUAACUACGGGAAACUGUAGCUAAUACCGCGUACCAUAGGAUGAGCCCAAGUGGGAUUAGGUAGUUGGUGAGGUAAAGGCUCACCAAGACGACGAUCCCUAGCUGGUCUGAGAGGAUGCACAGCCAAACUGGACCUGAGCAACGGCCCAGACCCCUACGUGAGGAAGCAGUGGGGAAUAAUGCGCAAUGGGGGCAAACGGACGCAGGCAGGCCGCCGGAAUGAAGAAGGCCUUCGGGGUGUAAAGUUCUAUCGGUAGCGAGGCGUUAACUACAGAAGAAGCACCGGCUAACGCCGUGACAGCAGCCGCGGUAAUAC